AAUUACAGUAUGAUGAUUUAUUUUAAUUGUCUCCAUUUACUCGACUUUAGAUAGUUUAGAUGGUAUCUGUUUACUCACUGGGAUUUUAUAAUCUCACCACCCUCAUUUCCUCACAUUUCAGGCUCAGGGAAUUCCAUAGUUAGCUGACUUGAACACGGACCUUCAUUUGGACUCGAAUCGGUAAAAGUUGUAGGUUUCCAGCUUCCGAUGCAUUUUGGAUAGAUAUGGGCCCACGUGUCACUGUAAAAGAAAUUUUAUGUUUUGGUUAUUUGCUUUAUAGUAUAUAUGAAUAUAAUUAUCUUUUACGCUAUAAGAAUUAUGUACCGAUAGUUUUAUGAAAAUUAUUUUACAAGAAAAUAGUUUAUUUAUUGAAUAUUUUUAUCAUAUUCAAAUGGUCAAAUUUUCACUUCAAAUGAACGUUUAGAUACUUAAUUUUUUUAAGUCAUUAAAUAUAUAUUUUCGGCUUACCUACUACAUUUUUAGCAAGUUUUGAGGUUUUCGACAAAAAUAACAAAAAUGCCCCUGUGAGCAAAAAAAAAAAUGUUAUGUUAUGAUUUGGAAAUGAUUUGUAAUCCUUCGUAUUUUGAUUAUUUGAUAACUAUUGCUCACUGGGGAAGUGCGAAAGCUGAUACGAGAGCCUUGCGAGAUUUCGAUCGACAUUCGGGAUGAAGAAUGUUUGUCGAGGCUUCGCGGCGAUUGUCACGGGCUCGAUGGGGAGUUUCGGGUCGUGACACUUUAUUCGAAGCUUUACCAUUUGAAAAAUAAUUUUGAAAAAGAUAAACAACUCUUCAUCUGAGGCUCCACCACUUCAAAAUCAAUUUGAAAAACAAACAACUCCUCAUCCAAGGCUCUACCACUUUAAAAUCAAUUUGAAAAAUAAACAACUCCUCAUCCGAGGCUCCACCACCUUAAAAUCAAUUUGAAAAAUAAACAACUCCUCAUCCGAGUGAUAAUUCUAUUUUAUAGAAUUAUUUUAUUCCAAUUUUGUUAUUAAAUAUUAGGUAAGUCCUCAAUUUUCAAUUAUAAUUUAUUUAUUUUUAGUUGUUUUUAUAAUUAGUUUGUUUGUAAGUAAGUUAUUUUAAUUUUAUGGUAUUCUUUUUAAUUUGGUUAUUAUUUAUUAGUUUUUUAUAUUUUUUGUAGGAACUAAAAGAAAUUGAGCUUAAUUUAGGAAAGUGAGAUGUUGAAAGACCAGAAAGUCUGCUUGCAUAUACUUUAGUGUUUUGGCAAUAACUCAUGCUACAGAACUUCAAAUGAUGUGAUUCUUGAACCAUUGGAAAGAUAAGAGACAGAGCUAUAAUUUUAUGAAGAUCACUUUGCCCAGUUCUGCAUUGAAGAUAGAGAAAAUUGUGUCAAACAAUGGUUGGAUGUACUAUGUCGGGAAUGGGAAAUUGUAGAGAUUGACAAUUGAUUUUUUUUUUUUGGGCCUCUCAUUACAUUUUUAAUCCCAAUUAAACCCUAGGUCAACCUAAGGAACUCUAGGUUAAGUUUAUUAGUAUAAAUAGGAUAUGUUUAACAAUAUUAGGGAGAUAACGUUUGGGAGAUUCAAGAAGCUAGGAGUUGAGGCUGAAACUUGGAGAUCAAGGCGGCAAAUAUUGUUUU
rnacentral:lncRNA from 1 species